rnacentral:rRNA from 1 species
AUUGAACGCUGGCGGCAGGCUUAACACAUGCAAGUCGAGCGAGCGGCGGACGGGUGAGUAAUGUCUGUGAAACUGCCUGAUGGAGGGGGAUAACUACUGGAAACGGUAGCAAAUACCGCAUACCAUCAAAUGUUCACUGAUGGGAUUAGCUAGUAGGUGGGGUAAUGGCCCACCUAGGCGACGAUCCCUUGCUGGUCUGAGAGGAGGACCAGCCACACUGGAACUGAGACACGGUCCAGACUCCUACGGGAGGCAGCAGUGGGGAAUCUUGCACAAUGGGCGCAAGCCUGAUGGAGCAAUGCCGCGUGUGUGAAGAAGGCCUUCGGGUUGUAAAGCACUUUCAUCGAGGAGGCGUUACUCGCAGAAGAAGCACCGGCUAACUCCGUGCCAGCAGCCGCGGUAAUAC